rnacentral:lncRNA from 1 species
AUCCAUGGUAAGGAACAAGAAUUGAAGAAUGAAGGAUAUGUCCAACGACGCUAUUCAACUUCUGGUUAUUUGAAAAACUUCCAUGUCCACUGCAUACACAAUUCACAAGGAAACCAAAAUGGGGUCACCAAAUUAAGCUCCAAAUAACAUUAAAAAUCAAAUCUUUGAUGAAAAAUCACUAGGAUGCAUUACCAAUCAUGACCAAGAACAAAGAGAGCCCAAAACAUAGUACUCUGAGCAAACCAAUACAAAGGCCAAACAACCCAAUUGUUGAAAUAAGCAGCCGCAGCUGCCAAUCCAAAUACAAUAGUAACAUCCCUAACAACAUAACUCAUAGAUUUCCAUGGAUUCUUGACCCAACAAUGCUUAGGAAUAGCUGCCCUAAUAUCAGACAACUUAAAUGGUGGGGGUGCCCCUGGGCAACAUCCCUCACAACAUAACUCAUAGAUUUCCAUGGAUUCUUGACCCAACAAUGCUUAGGAAUAGCUGCCCUAAUAUCAGACAACUUAAAUGGUGGGGGUGCCCCUGGGUCAAAAAACUCAUUAUCUGUUGUUCUCUCAUCUUCUCCGACAGUUUGGAUCCUAAGUGGUGCACUUACCCUCAAUGCCCAAUUCCUCUCUUUAUUAGUAUUAGACAAAGAAAUUGAAGAACCACUCAGAUCUGUAGGUGAAAUUCUCAACUUAAUGUGAGAGGAGACAAAAAUGGCUGCCCCAGUUCUAGGCUUUGAGUAGAUUCUUGGCAGUGGUCUAAGCGUGAAAUUCUCAACUUAAUGUGAGAGGAGGCAGAAGUGGCUGCCCCAGUUCUGGGCUUUGGGUAGAUUCUUGGGAGUGGUCUAAGACCACAUUCUGAUAAAACCCAACUUGCCAUUGAAGGAUAAAGAGGAGAGAGAUUUUCUUGAACUCUGUAUCUCUCUCAAAGAAGAGGAGAGAGAUGCAAAUAUGGGGAAACUAAUGCUAAUACAGGAAAAUAUAAAAAGGGUGUUUUAAACAAGUCUCAAAAAAUGUGUGUUUGUUACCAUAAAUUACUAUUUGUUUUUCUAUUGGUUGGUUUUUAGGCUAUAGGUGGGGUGGAGACUGGAGAGAGAAUUGGAUGUGUGAAGAUAAAUCAGGGGAAAUCUAAGCUUCAACAAGAGCUACAAAAACCAACCUCAACUUGUGUUGCUUGUUGAUUGUCUUGUUUUUC